rnacentral:rRNA from 1 species
CCGCACGAAGCGGUGGAUGAUGUGGUUAAUUCGAUGCAACGCGAAAACCUUACCACCUUUGACAUGUACGGAAUCCUUUAGAGAUAGAGGAGUGCUCGAAAGAGGAGCCGUAACACAGGUGCUGCAUGGCUGUCGUCAGCUCGUGUCGUGAGAUGUUGGGUUAAGUCCCGCAACGAGCGCAACCCUUGUCAUUAGUUGCUACAUUCAGUUGGGCACUCUAAUGAGACUGCCGGUGACAAACCGGGAGGAAGGUGGGGAUGACGUCAAGUCCUCAUGGCCCUUAUAGGUGGGGCUACACACGUCAUACAAUGGAUGGUACAAAGGGUCGCCAACCCGCGAGGGGGAGCCAAUCCCAUAAAGCCAUUCGUAGUCCGGAUCGCAGUCUGCAACUCGACUGCGUGAAGUCGGAAUCGCUAGUAAUCGUGGAUCAGAAUGUCACGGUGAAUACGUUCCCGGGUCUU